GAAUACUCCGCCUAAAUUAAAAAAAUAUAUAGACAGAAGUUAGAAGACGCAGCCUCCCUCGAAGUCUUCAUCCUCCAUGAAAAUUGAAAAGUGUGCGAUUUUUCUCUGAAACUAUGAUGGCAAUGGAGUCUUAUGGUUAUGGUGAAAUCGAGGGGUUAUUUACUGAUGUUUCCAUUCUCCAAAAUUGGGUAUAACAUUGGAAAUUGAACUUUGGACUUUUGUUCAAAAGCUUGGAGAUGCUGUAUUUAUACCUGUUGGUUGCCCCCAUCAGUUUAGAAAUUGAAGGUAAUAACAAUGCUUAAGGAGAGUGAGCUUGUGGACUUUAGG